rnacentral:rRNA from 1 species
UACGGAGGAUCCGAGCGUUAUCCGGAUUUAUUGGGUUUAAAGGGUGCGUAGGCGGCCUAUUAAGUCAGGGGUGAAAUACGGUGGCUCAACCAUCGCAGUGCCUUUGAUACUGAUGGGCUUGAAUCCAUUUGAAGUGGGCGGAGUAAGACAAGUAGCGGUGAAAUGCAUAGAUAUGUCUUAGAACUCCGAUUGCGAAGGCAGCUCACUAAGCUGGUAUUGACGCUGAUGCACGAAAGCGUGGGGAUCGAACAGG